GACGAACGCUGGCGGCGUGCCUAAUACAUGCAAGUCGAACGCUUCUUUCCUCCCGAGUGCUUGCACUCAAUUGGAAAGAGGAGUGGCGGACGGGUGAGUAACACGUGGGUAACCUACCCAUCAGAGGGGGAUAACACUUGGAAACAGGUGCUAAUACCGCAUAACAGUUUAUGCCGCAUGGCAUAAGAGUGAAAGGCGCUUUCGGGUGUCGCUGAUGGAUGGACCCGCGGUGCAUUAGCUAGUUGGUGAGGUAACGGCUCACCAAGGCCACGAUGCAUAGCCGACCUGAGAGGGUGAUCGGCCACACUGAGACUGAGACACGGCCCAGACUCCUACGGGAGGCAGCAGUAGGGAAUCUUCGGCAAUGGACGAAAGUCUGACCGAGCAACGCCGCGUGAGUGAAGAAGGUUUUCGGAUCGUAAAACUCUGUCGUUAGAGAAGAACAAGGACGUUAGUAACUGAACGUCCCCUGACGGUAUCUAACCAGAAAGCCACGGCUAACUACGUGCCAGCAGCCGCGGUAAUACGUAGGUGGCAAGCGUUGUCCGGAUUUAUUGGGCGUAAAGCGAGCGCAGGCGGUUUCUUAAGUCUGAUGUGAAAGCCCCCGGCUCAACCGGGGAGGGUCAUUGGAAACUGGGAGACUUGAGUGCAGAAGAGGAGAGUGGAAUUCCAUGUGUAGCGGUGAAAUGCGUAGAUAUAUGGAGGAACACCAGUAGCGAAGGCGGCUCUCUGGUCUGUAACUGACGCUGAGGCUCGAAAGCGUGGGGAGCAAACAGGAUUAGAUACCCUGGUAGUCCACGCCGUAAACGAUGAGUGCUAAGUGUUGGAGGGUUUCCGCCCUUCAGUGCUGCAGCAAACGCAUUAAGCACUCCGCCUGGGGAGUACGACCGCAAGGUUGAAACUCAAAGGAAUUGACGGGGGCCCGCACAAGCGGUGGAGCAUGUGGUUUAAUUCGAAGCAACGCGAAGAACCUUACCAGGUCUUGACAUCCUUUGACCACUCUAGAGAUAGAGCUUUCCCUUCGGGGACAAAGUGACAGGUGGUGCAUGGUUGUCGUCAGCUCGUGUCGUGAGAUGUUGGGUUAAGUCCCGCAACGAGCGCAACCCUUAUUGUUAGUUGCCAUCAUUUAGUUGGGCACUCUAGCGAGACUGCCGGUGACAAACCGGAGGAAGGUGGGGAUGACGUCAAAUCAUCAUGCCCCUUAUGACCUGGGCUACACACGUGCUACAAUGGGAAGUACAACGAGUCGCUAGACCGCGAGGUCAUGCAAAUCUCUUAAAGCUUCUCUCAGUUCGGAUUGCAGGCUGCAACUCGCCUGCAUGAAGCCGGAAUCGCUAGUAAUCGCGGAUCAGCACGCCGCGGUGAAUACGUUCCCGGGCCU
rnacentral:rRNA from 1 species